rnacentral:rRNA from 1 species
AAAACCUGGCGGCAGGCUUAACCAUGCAAGUCGAACGGUAGCAGGAGAAAGCUUGCUUUCUUGCUGACGAGUGGCGGACGGGUGAGUAAUGCUUGGGAAUCUGGCUUAUGGAGGGGGAUAACUACUGGAAACGGUAGCUAAUACCGCGUAACAUCUUCGGAUUAAAGGGUGGGAUCUUCGGACCACUUGCCAUAAGAUGAGCCCAAGUGGGAUUAGGUAGUUGGUGGGGUAAAGGCCUACCAAGCCGACGAUCUCUAGCUGGUCUGAGAGGAUGGCCAGCCACACUGGAACUGAGACACGGUCCAGACUCCUACGGGAGGCAGCAGUGGGGAAUAUUGCACAAUGGGGGGAACCCUGAUGCAGCCAUGCCGCGUGAAUGAAGAAGGCCUUCGGGUUGUAAAGUUCUUUCGGUGAUGAGGAAGGCGGGUAUUUUAAUAGAAUACUCGAUUGACGUUAGUCACAGAAGAAGCACCGGCUAACUCCGUGCCAGCAGCCGCGGUUAU